UGGGGAAUUUUGGACAAUGGGCGCAAGCCUGAUCCAGCAAUGCCGCGUGCAGGAAGAAGGCCUUCGGGUUGUAAACUGCUUUUGUCAGGGAAGAAAUCCUCUGGGUUAAUACCUCGGGGGGAUGACGGUACCUGAAGAAUAAGCACCGGCUAACUACGUGCCAGCAGCCGCGGUAAUACGUAGGGUGCGAGCGUUAAUCGGAAUUACUGGGCGUAAAGCGUGCGCAGGCGGUUGUGCAAGACAGGUGUGAAAUCCCCGGGCUUAACCUGGGAACUGCACUUGUGACUGCACAGCUAGAGUACGGUAGAGGGGGAUGGAAUUCCGCGUGUAGCAGUGAAAUGCGUAGAUAUGCGGAGGAACACCGAUGGCGAAGGCAAUCCCCUGGACCUGUACUGACGCUCAUGCACGAAAGCGUGGGGAGCAAACA
rnacentral:rRNA from 1 species